rnacentral:rRNA from 1 species
AACGAACGCUGGCGGCAUGCCUAACACAUGCAAGUCGAACGAGACCUUCGGGUCUAGUUGCGCACGGGUGCGUAACGUGUGGGAACCUGCCCUUAGGUUUGGAAUACCUCUCCGUAAGGGGUGCUAAUACCGGAUAAUGUCUUCGGACCAAAGAUUUAUCGCCUUUGGAUGGGCCCGCGUUGGAUUAGCUAGUUGGUAGGGUAAAAGCCUACCAAGGCGACGAUCCAUAGCUGGUCUGAGAGGAUGAUCAGCCACACUGGGACUGAGACACGGCCCAGACUCCUACGGGAGGCAGCAGUGGGGAAUAUUGGACAAUGGGCGAAAGCCUGAUCCAGCAAUGCCGCGUGAGUGAUGAAGGCCUUAGGGUUGUAAAGCUCUUUUACCCGGGAUGAUAAUGACGGUACCGGGAGAAUAAGCACCGGCUAACUCCGUG